CAGGUCACCACAAAAUCCUAAGAUCACCAGAUCCUAUUUGAUCUUGGAAGCUAAACAAGGUAAACUUUGCUUAGUACUUGUAUGGGAGACCACCAAUGUAUACUAGGUGGUAGAGCUGU
rnacentral:rRNA from 11 species